rnacentral:lncRNA from 1 species
GCCAAGAUCGUCUUGAACAUCAAGAAUUACAACCUUGGCACCAUUUUUGAUGAAAAACUUAGCCGUGGUAGCACCAAUUCCACUUGCACCUCCAGUGAUGACUGCUACUUUACCUUCUAGUCUGCAAUGUUAAAAUGGCAAAACCAAAUAAGAAAAGAAAAGGAAAAAACAGAGAAUAUCAGGAAAAGAGAUUGAACUUUAUAAUGUGUGGCUAUAACUCUAUAAAACUUUUAAAAUUUGUGGUCUUAAAUAUGACAUAACAGUUGUGUGACUAUAAGAACUUACCAUUACGGGUAAAAUGAGACGUUCAAGUUAAAUUAUUUUUAAAUAUUAAAAAAUGUCAUUCUUUUUUAAAGAGACUAAUAAGAAAAUAAUAUAUUCCUUUUGCAAAGAAGGGGCCGAGGGAGUAGUUAUUUAAAUUAUGUUUUUUUUUCCACAGACAGGGGCUUGAAAGAAGAAUAAUUAAAAGAAAUAAUGGAGCUAGGUGAUCACUGAAUACCUUUUGGCUGAUGUAGUGGCUGAACUGCUGUUGCUGGUCAUCUUUGAUGACAAGAUUCAAGAAAUAAUGACUUCACAAGUUGUUCUCUGAAUCUCUGCGAUGUGUUGAGUUCUAUUGUCCAGUUUCUUACUUGGUUAAGC